UCCGUUUGCCAGUUUAUCUGUCUUCUUGUCAUAAAAGAAACAAUGAACGUUCUCGCAAAACGCUACAAAACGGUAGAAGUAGAAAAAAGAGCGAUAUGGUUGCUCUUACUAUUACUGUCGCUGUCUAUGAAGAAUAUGUAUAGAGCCCACCAGCAGCAGUAAAACGACAAGCAGUGACGGCAAUCAAAAAGCCCCAUGAAAAAUAUCCAAAACAUUCAUCAUUAAGUGAUGCGAGAUGUGAGGCUACCAGUACGUCGCUGCCACAGACGGAAAAUGAAAUGAAAUUAAAGAUUACCAGAAAUCAUCGCGGACGCAGUUACAACAAACAAGUCCAAAUAAACAUAAAAAUGUCAUAAGUUUUGAUUAAAACGCUGAAAAUUUGUAAUUAAUCAUUGAUUUAAUGAAAUAUACGAACAACUGAAAGCAUAAAGCGGGCAAAAGCAUAAAAAUAAUCCAAUCCAAGUCAAACCAAUUGCACUUUAAGAGUUAAUGAAAAGAAAUAUUGUAAUGUUAUAUACGUAGCAGUUAUUCCAAAACAAGUUUCUGUAUAGGAAGGCAAAGGAGAAUGAUUCUAUAAAACUCAAUAAAAAUAAACAUAUUUUGUUUCUUUAAAAUUA